ACUGUGUCCCAUGCAAUGCUACCUAUCAUGUGCAAUAAUGCCUGUUCAUAAACUCAGUUGACAUAUUUUUAUUCUUAUUUUAUUGUAAUGUAGGGCACAUUCUACUUAUUAUGCAGCACAUUUUAAUUUGCUUUUUAAAUGUCUUUCUGUUUUGUGGCUUUUUAGCACCAACCAUUCCAAGUGAUGCAUAAGAAAUUCUACUCUCUUUUCUCAGGAGGAAGAAGACUAAAAGAGAGGAACAUUCAUAGGUUACAGAGAAGUGUCUGUGCCCUGUGAUGAACUGGCAUCGGACCCAGGCUGUGUCCUUGUCCUAUGCCCUGGGAGACCCCAGCGACUCAGAUCAGGAGAAGCUUGGGGAGCAUGGUGUCAUGGCUGUAAGACGUCAAGCUCGCAUGUGCAUAUAGACAGGAUCCAGCAUAGUGCCGGUCCGUAAUAACGUUAUCAAACAUACGCGGCGUUCAGCGUAUCGACCUCGUUUCCUGUGAUGAUGAUGACGAUGAUGAUGACGAUGAAGAGGCACCCGCCGCAGCGCUACACCAGGCUGACGCUUGAGCGCAGAACCGCACGUGGGAAUCAGCGCCGCCCGCAGGCUACACGACGUGCGGUACGAAGCGGCGCCGCACCGGCUUUCAAAGAACCACUGUUAAACUGUAGGACAAAGAAAUAUUAUGUAUUUUUAACAUAACAAAAACAUACUUUUAAAAACAAGCAGUGUGUUAUUUCUUUUUUACUCCCGUUUCUUGUAAUCCAUACAAUUAUUGUAACCAAAAUUUACAGCUCUGGUGUAGUGAAACGCUGUGCUGUUUUUUAAAAUCACCUUUUUGAAAUAAUUCUCACAAAAUAGAUGAUUAUAAUGAAGCUCAGCUUGGGAUUGUUUGUGUACACAUGGAGUUUACAGUGUAUGACCGCUGCAAAACUAAUUUGACAGUUCUGUUGUGCCAGAUAAGAUUAUUAAUCGUUAUUUUGAGUCGCAAACUUGUCAAGAUUCUCAUUCCGCUUGUGACUAGGGAGGGCGCUUAGGACGAUUCCAAGGGCCAUUCGGAACAUAAUUGGACUGGCUGGGGGGGGGGGGCUGACAUUAUGUACUUUCAUGGGGCCCAAAACCUCUAUCCGUGACUGUCCAGUGCGUCAAAAAGUGUCUGAAAAUCAAGGUUAGGGUCACUGUCCCACAUUAGGUGAAUGUUUGUCAACACGGCUGAACCAAACAAAAUAUCUGCCGCUGUUUCAACGCUGAACUAAAUCUUUCAUCAAAUAACUAAUGUAGUUUAAAGUAUUCCGUUUGAUUACUGAUUUACCCCCAUUCAAACUAUGCUUAAGUACAUCUGCUAAAAGCUAAGAGUGGUUAAUGUAAAUUUUCAACCUGAUGUAUUUUUACGAGAUAAACAUGCUACUGUGCAAAUAAACGCGCGAUUUUAUGCUUGGUGUCUUAAGUGUUCAGCCAGAGGGCCUUACGAGAGAAACAGGGUAAUCUGUAUGUGUAUGUGAGCCAUACAGAAUGA